AUUGAACGCUGGCGGCAGGCCUAACACAUGCAAGUCGAGCGGCAGCGGGAAAGUAGCUUGCUACUUUUGCCGGCGAGCGGCGGACGGGUGAGUGAUGCCUGGGAAAUUGCCCAGUCGAGGGGGAUAACAGUUGGAAACGACUGCUAAUACCGCAUACGCCCUACGGGGGAAAGCAGGGGACCUUCGGGCCUUGCGCGAUUGGAUAUGCCCAGGUGGGAUUAGCUAGUUGGUGAGGUAAUGGCUCACCAAGGCUACGAUCCCUAGCUGGUCUGAGAGGAUGAUCAGCCACACUGGAACUGAGACACGGUCCAGACUCCUACGGGAGGCAGCAGUGGGGAAUAUUGCACAAUGGGGGAAACCCUUAUGCAGCCAUGCCGCGUGUGUGAAGAAGGCCUUCGGGUUGUAAAGCACUUUCAGCGAGGAGGAAAGGUUGAUGCCUAAUACGUAUCAACUGUGACGUUACUCGCAGAAGAAGCACCGGCUAACUCCGUGCCAGCCGCCGCCGUAACAC
rnacentral:rRNA from 1 species